rnacentral:rRNA from 1 species
UACAGAGGUCUCAACCGUUGUUCGGAUUCAUUGGGCGUAAAGGGUGCGUAGGCGGUCGGGUAAGUCGGAUGUGAAAUCUCAGGGCUCAACCCUGAAACUGCAUUCGAUACUGCCUGGCUAGGGUACUGGAGAGGAGACUGGAAUUUACGGUGUAGCGGUGAAAUGCGUAGAUAUCUGGAGGAACACCGGUGGCGAAAGCGGCUCACUGGAUCGAAACUGACGCUGAGGUGCGAAAGCUAGGGUAGCAGACGGG